rnacentral:lncRNA from 1 species
AAAUUCCUUCGAUUAUAAUUCCUCUCUAUUGAACUUACAACCUUACGAUAAACAGUGUUUGAAAACUUCCAUAUAUCCUCAAUCUUUCACAACAAUUGAUAAACAGUGAUCCAUAAACAACUUCGUAAAUCAAACAUUGAUUCAUUAAAUCGAUUUUCUUCACUAGAAUCAAAAGAAACAAGAAAACUAAAAAGAAGAGAUAGCACCAAGCUUAUCCCCGGCUCAGUACUAUCGCAGUCUGGCAUUUUCUUCCCCUCUCCUAUCCUCUUUAUAUUACCCCGAGAUACCAACUCUUAUACUAUAGAUGAUAACUACUUUUCCUGACUAUUCAUCCAUUCUACCUGUUGAACUAUCUUUUCAACAGUUAUCUAUUCCUGUUUAAACUCUAUAUUAGAUAUCUUUAUUUUGUAAAAUAACUACUUAUUUUAUAUAGCCCUACUCCUAACUGUGCAGCGUCCUCGCAAAUACAAUAUUGAUAAACAAAAACCAAUCUUUUUUUUCUUUUUUUUUUAACUGGAUUGUUCAAUCUCUUUGAUUUCUAGCGUUGGCUCUAUUUGGUCUUGUUCCAACACUAUAUCUUCUUCCUCC